UCCUAACAAACAGGGAGGGAGUGGGAGGUCCAGGGGGGCAUUCGUGCUGCAAAUUCAGAUCCUAGCCCUGCCCUGAGAGUCAGGGGCAAGGGGUGGAGAGAGCAGUCACCUCUCUAGCUGAAGAUUACCAAGCCCACUUCUCCAGCCCAAGGCUGCAGAGGACAGGCGCAGUUAGGCAAGGUCUCCCCAAAUCACGAUCAUUCAUUUCCUUUUUCUGCUUAAAAGCAGAUGUGGCCGUGCCAGGGAGCAGCAGGCCAGGUCAGUGGGAGAUGAUGCCGGUUUCCAGGCAACUACAUGGAAUUUGGUGAGAAAUGAAGAAACUGAGCCGCCAAGAUCUGUUGGUUCGAUGGAAAACUACGGUUAUCCAAACGCUGCGCCUGAGCAGAGGCUGGAGAGGGCGGAACGAGGCUGUGGGAAUGGAAGCAUCUGUGGGCGUUCCUCUCUCUUGAAAGAGCAGCCAGUUGCGCACAUCGGAAAGAAAUGUGUGUCUCUUCCCUGAUCAGCCUUUGCAGAAGAGGUGGCCAUGAGGCUUAGCAAGAUAGGGUGGGCUCUGUGGCUCACUGUGGCCGUACAGUGGGUGUCUGUUGUCACUGAGAGUGGUUGCCAUGGCUCCUGACACACUGAUAGUCACACAGGGGCCACCCGUCUUUGGCUCCAGGCCCCAAGUCAAAUGCAGCUCUCACUCAGGCCUCCCAGACCACUGGAGUCCCUGCGGAGCCAGCUGCUGGGACUCUGUCUGCAGAAGCAAGAGAGUGAGUAUACUUCUAAAAGUCUCUCACUGAGCCAGACGCACUGUUUACAUCCUAAGCCUACCCUCUGCAUUUCCAGGAAGAAAUACACUCUCUUCUCUGCCUUAA